GCCUUCGUGGUGUAGUGGUCAGCAAGCUGGGUUUAUUCCAGAGGUCCGUGGUUCGAUUCCCGGCGAAGGCG
rnacentral:tRNA from 1 species